UUGAUUCACGUUCGAUUGUUAAAUAGAGAGCUUGUCAUAAGGAAAUGGGUUUCUUGAUAAAGUGGAAAAUAAUACGGUUGCCCGAAUAUGUUCCGAGAAAACACAACAAGAGAAAGAUAAUAGUUUAAUGGAAGACUACACAACCAUUGCUCCGUUGCCCGAAGACUCAAGCUGACGAAGAUUAUUCGAGAGCCGCUGAACUUUUUUUUAAAGGGAAGCCAACGAGUAUCACGACGGUAAAAGAGCAACGAGUCACGGCCCGGAUCAAGUAAAAAGCAGAUAGAAGAAACAUCCCUUUUGAAGAGUUCGUGAGAUUUAUCUUAAUGCUUGAAUGAAGAAGAGGAUCGAAUGACUCCGCCUAUAAGGGCAAAAUCGUAUAUAUAUCUGCUUUAUGUAAAGAGAUUUGUUUUCUAGUAAAGUUGUUCUAAUAGAAUUGAACCAAGAAUCAACGUCUCUUUUCGCAUUCACUUCAUGCAUUUGCAUUACACAACAUUACGUGCAUUAAGGACCAUUAAAAGACCCUAAUUG
rnacentral:lncRNA from 1 species